rnacentral:rRNA from 1 species
AAGUYGGGCCUGCCCACUGAAGUGUUAAAGGGCCGCGGUAUUUUGACCGUGCMAAGGUAGCAUAAUCAUUAGUCUUUUAAUUGGAGGCUGGAAUGAAUGGUUURAUGAAAUAAUAACUGUCUCUUAUAUUAUUGAUUUGAAUUUUACUUUUGAGUUAAAAGGCUCAAAUGUUAUUAAGGGACGAGAAGACCCUAUAGAUCUUGAUAAUAAAUUUAUUUGAUUAUAUUUGGUUGUAUGAUUGUUUUAUAAGUGUAAUUAUUUUAUUGGGGUGAUAUGAGAAUAGUAUAACUUCUUAUAAGUUAACUUUGAUUAAUGGGUAAAUGAUCCUUUAAUAUGGAAUUAAGAUUAAGAUACCUUAGGGAUAACAGCGUAAUUUUAUUGAAGAGUUCUUAUCGAUAAUGAAGAUUGCGACCUCGAUGUUGGAUUAARAAUAUAUUUUGGUGUAGUAGCUAWUAAUAUUGGUCUGUUC